rnacentral:piRNA from 1 species
AGAUGGGUGUUGAAUUAGUGUUGGAC